CCCCAGUGGCGUCACAACCCCGUGACGUCCCCCGCGUGACUUCACGGCCGCAGAGCGAGUUCUGGAAGUAGGAAGGAGGAAAAGGGAGGAGGGACAGUUGUUGGAGGAGUUUCACUCCUGGGCUGACGCUCUCCUCUCCCGGCCCCUACGCCCUAGGGGAGGAGUUGAAUCCCGGGUUGGAGGAGCUCUGAGAUCUAUAAGGCAAUGCUACCAUCUUGCAGGAAGUUCCGGUGGACACCCUACCCGAUUCUCUCUGAAUUAUAGAGCAAUUUCUUCUUUGAAAAGAGAUUAAUAAAUUACUAUGUCAUUUAA